UACGUAGGGUGCAAGCGUUAAUCGGAAUUACUGGGCGUAAAGGGUGCGUAGGCGGCGACCCAAGUCAGAUGUGAAAGUCCUGGGCUUAACCUGGGGACUGCAUUUGAUACUGGGUUGCUUGAAUUCGGGAGAGGAUAGCGGAAUUCCCAAUGUAGAGGUGAAAUUCGUAGAUAUUGGGAAGAACACCGGUGGCGAAGGCGGCUAUCUGGACCGACAUUGACGCUGAGGCGCGAAAGCGUGGGGAGCAAACAGG
rnacentral:rRNA from 1 species